rnacentral:rRNA from 1 species
AGCGAACGCUGGCGGCAGGCCUAAUACAUGCAAGUCGAACGGAUCCUUCGGGAUUAGUGGCGGACGGGUGAGUAACACGUGGGAACGUGCCCUUUGGUUCGGAACAACUCAGGGAAACUUGAGCUAAUACCGGAUAAGCCCUUCGGGGAAGGAUUUAUUCGCCAUUGGAGCGGCCCGCGUCUGAUUAGCUAGUUGGUGGGGUAAAGGGACCUACCAAGGCGACGAUCAGUAGCUGGUCUGAGAGGANGAUCAGCCACACUGGGACUGAGACACGGCCCAGACUCCUACGGGAGGCAGCAGUAGGGAAGUCUUGCGCAAUGGGCGGAAAGCCUGACGCAGCCAUGCCGCGUGAAUGAUGAAGGUCUUAGGAUUGUAAAAUUCUUUCUAGCGGGGACGGAUAAU